rnacentral:miRNA from 1 species
ACAAGUACAGUAUUUUCCAUCUCAAUUUGGUUGGAAAAAUCCACAUCAAAAAACACAGGUCAAACCUGUGUUGUUCAAGGGUCAACUGU